GCUGUCUUUGCCGCCACUCCUCUGUUUCUUUUAAUCUUGAAGUUUACUGUCUUUGCUAACUAAAUUUUCUAUUUCCCUUUUGUUGUGCCGAAUUGUUGCAACAGGUUGAUAGCACCGUUAAGCAUAAACAAAACUUUGAUAGAUUUCUGAUUAGUCAGAAACCCCUUUCCAACGUUAAUACGAGUGCUAAAAAACGUGAUCACUAUUACUCACUUGCGGAAGAUUUUCUCGAGAUUACACCUCGGAAGACAAUUGGAGAAUUGAAGGAAUGUAAAGAAGAUGGUGAUUAUGCUGUGUAUGGUACAAUUAUGGGAGUGAUUGGUGGACUUGAUUGGUUUGUUGCUCAAUAUAGAUGUGGCACUGAAGUUGUUCUGAAGCUUGGGUCAUACUAUUGUGAAAAGUCUUCAAAGCAUGUUGAUUUGUUUUCUUUGAAGUUAUAGUGUUGGUAUGAGGUUUAUUUAUGUUGAUUAUUUCAUUUGUAUAUAUUAUAAAAACAGGUAUAGAAUUAAGGUGAAAGUUAUUGAUUCCUCAGGGAGUGCAACCUUUGUCAUAUUUGAAAAGCUUGGAUGCCUUUUGCUACAUAAGUCCUGCACUGAGAUUUUUAUUAUUUAAAGAAAUUAUUUAGUAUAA